rnacentral:rRNA from 1 species
AAUCAACGCUGGCGGCGUGCCUCAGACAUGCAAGUCGAACGCGAAAGUUCCCUUCGGGGGAUGAGUAGAGUGGCGCACGGGUGAGUAACACGUAGGUAAUCUACCUUUGGAUGGGGAAUAACAACCGGAAACGGUUGCUAAUACCGCAUAAUGCAGCGGCACCUAAUGGUGACAGUUGUUAAAGCGGGGGAUCGAAAGACCUCGCGUCUGAAGAGGAGCCUGCGGCGGAUUAGCAGUUGGUAAGGUAACGGCUUACCAAGGCGACGAUCCGUAGCCGGCCUGAGAGGGCGGUCGGCCACACUGACACUGACAUACGGGUCAGACUCCUACGGGAGGCAGCAGUCGGGAAUUUUGGGCAAUGGGCGAAAGCCUGACCCAGCAACGCCGCGUGAAGGAUGAAAUCCCUCGGGA